CUAUCCCCACAUUUCCUGUCGGCUUAUAACUCGUUGACACGGACAAAGGCUUCUCUCCCAGAUGCUCCCAUUGCGGAGCAAUGUGCCAAUUACCGGCCUAUCUCCCUUGAAGCUUUUCGCCCAUAUUCUGGCUGCCAGGUUGCCUUAUAUACCAUCCCUAGUGAAACCGGACCAGGUGGGAUUUAUUCCAAACAGAGAAACGAGGGACAACACCUCUAGAACCAUAUCCCUGAUCCAUUAUCCACAAUAGACAGGCAAGGAUCUUAUCCUGAUAUCCACCAACGCAGAGAAGGCCUUUGACAGAGUUAGCUGGGAUUUCCUAUUUAACACGCUCCUUGCCCUGGGGAUCACUGCACUGUACGCCAACCCGUCGGCGAAAGUAUACAUUAACGGAGCUUACACGGACGCAUUCCACAUCCAUAAUGGGACCAGUCAAGGCAGUACACUAUCG